CGUUUCUGCAUGUGUGGCUGGAUGGUGUGUUGUGCCUGUGAAAAUAAAGCUUUUGUUUUCGAGUUUAUUAUGUUGUGGUUUUGGUGGUUUGUGUUGGGAGUGAAUGUAGUCGAAUUAUUGUUUUUACUUGUAAUGUAGUUCAUGAUUUAGGUGGAAAAUGUAUGUGUUCAUGUUACAAGUGGUUAAUUUUUUGUCCUAUCAAAGCAUCACUGACAGGCAGGUUCGUCCAUGGGACGGCAACAAGGUUCUAGAACCAUUAAUCUGCUCUCGUUGAUAGCAUCCAAGGAAUUUCUUUUCGUCUUUGGCUUCUUACUUUCUUGUUUUUCCACUGUGUGAAAACCGUGGCGUUAUGAUGGCACAUAUGACUUUCAGACUUAAACCAAUGCAAGACUCGUUUUUAAACUAAUGCUGCAAUCGUGCCAUAUAGUGACACUAUGAACAAUAACAGACUUUGAAGUAGGCGACGUCAUUGUUUCUCAUAUGAUUAUUGUAAUCUUUGUUCUGCUAAAAUUAUGUAAACAUUUUAUUUUAUUACACUUCUCUACCAUGUCUGAGUAGCCAUUAAGAAGUCAGUUUGAACUGGCAAUGUCAAUAUGGUGACAUCCUGCAUUUGUGGCUAUAAGACCAUGGAGGGCUAGGGCUUUCCUUUUAUAUUGUCCAACUGGGACUAGGAAACCUUACUCGCCUAAGGCUGUUGCACCAGAGGCAGAGUCCAAGUUUGUCAGGUAGUUUAUUGUUCAUUAUUGUUUAGUCUUUACUCACAAAAUAAAGUGGCAUAUUAGCAAAACAAAGUUAGUUAUUUAUUGUUUCCAUUAUUGUCAAGGAUGAGAAUCAAGCUACGGCAGCCAUCAUGGAAAUUUUCUUUGACUGCAGUGGAUCACGGGCAACUUUUUUAGAGUUAUCUUAUACUGAGUAUUGUUUAUGGCAGUUUUAUAUAAUCAUGCUCAAGUUUUGUAUUUUAUUCACUUUUCCUGCUUUCUUUUGUCAGCUAUCAAACUGCAUAGAUUUUUUGCAGGCAGAAUGCUACCAUUUUAUCUUUGAAGCUGCCUUUGAGAGCCUACCAAAAUUCAAUGUAAAAGCUUGUCUUCACUUUUUUCACAUUUUAUCAAAAUUAAAGCUUAUCUUUUAUUGAAGGGUCUUAUGUUUGAGAUACAAUAAUUAUCCUGUAUGUACUUUUAGAAGUGAAUUUUACCAGCCCAGGCAAGUGGUUUCAAGUUUAUUUUACAAGCCUAGGUGCUGCUUCUUGUAGUGGGCGUUCCUCAACAGUUUUUUCUUCUUUAUUUUAGAAUGCUUUUGCUGUUUCAUCAGGCACCGAAGAAAAUUUUCUGGAAUAAAAAUCCCAGGCUACCAAACACACCACAAAAUGGGACCUGGAGUCAUUUUCCUAUCCCAAUUUCAGUUGGAAUGAAUUUUCUGGAAUUCAUUUUCCACAAACAUUAUCCCAGAGUAUCAAUGAGCCCUUCAAGAUGGGAAAACCCAAAUGUUAGGGGCUAUUUGCUAGGCGAACUAUGCAUCUGGAGUUUUUUUUUCCCUUAAAAAUUCAACAAAUGUGGAGUUUCUCUCAGAAAUUCACUGGCAAUUUUGGAACUAAAACCCAUAGGGUUCUGACCUUUUUCUUGGUAUUAUUUUUUUUGCCCAUUAGGGUUUUGUAGUGAUCGUUCUCGUGUCUCACACUUGUCUUCCGCUAUAACGCAGCAGCAGCUCAUGUUUCAAGAAGGGGGAGAGACAACUCCCUUCUGUGUAAGCUUCAACAGCUUCGUCUUUGAUGAUUCUUCCUUGUAAUGUGAAAUUUUGCUCCUCAUUGCUCCUUUGGUCUCUGUGCAACAAUACCAACAAAAUAAGUGUGGGUUAUGAUCCCCCACGCAUGACUUAAGGUGGCAUGGGUAUCUGCUGCUGUGGCUGCAGUGUCGACGCCCCUGAUGGGUGACGUCCAUGUCUACCGUUAGAAGGGUGUAGGUUCACUACUUCAAGGUCAGGUGCCUAGAGGUUAUUCCCCUCAUCAAGGAGAAGUCUCCUACGCCACCAUGCAGAAGGUCUGCUGAUUUUCAUUCUCCUUCAAGGGGUCUCAAAUUUUCAAUGCCUGUCUCUCUUUCAUUUUUUAUUUUUAGGGUUCAUGUUGGUCUCUCUAUUUCUCUAUUUUCUCUUUCCCUCUUAGACUUUUUAGGGUUUAUAUUGGUUUUUCUUACAUUCUAUCAAUAUUCGCGACCUUUUGGUUGUAAUAGAAUAUGAAGGGAUGUUGGUUGACCAAACAUACCUCUUAGAGAUGGAGAGAAAUAGCAACUAAUUUGGAAAAGAUUGCUGCUGACAAAUUUAGGAGAUGGUUAUCAAAGUGUUAUCUUGAUGCAUUGUAUAUAAGUGUUGGUAGUGAUGCUCAAUUGCAUCAUUACUUUCUUCUCAGAUUGAUGAAGUGACUGCUAGCUCUUCCCGUCUCCAGAAGUUUUGUUUAUUUCUUUUGGGUUUUCUUUGUGCAGAUUGAUCCUUGUUUGACCAUCUGUUGCUGUUGUCUGGUUUUUGCUAAUGUGAUCCCCAUUUCUGACUUCCUUUCUUGGUUCCUUUUUUUUUUUGUUUUUCCUCCUUCUGAUUUUUUUCUAUAAUUGGAAAGUUAUUUGAAUUUCCAUGGUUACAGCAUUUUUUAUUUUUUCUUUCUCGUCAUUCUUCUUGUUUGUUAGUGGUAGUGCUUCUGAUAUGCAUCUCAUGUAGGGUUUUUGCUCGUUUCUUUUGACCUUUGUCUUUUAUGAUUUUAGAACUCUGAAUGCUGCACUGGAUUGCUUUUGUUCAAUGUCACAAAAAACAUGUUUUAUUUGAAAAAAACACGAUAAAUUAGAUUGCAGUUUAAAACUUAAAAAAAAACAUUACAAAAAAAAACGCGUUUUUUUCAUUUUUUAAUGCCAAACGUUUUUUUUUUUUCAUUUUCUAUUUUUUAUUUGUUGCAAAUCUACUUAUCUUUUGAUGUUUGUGUUAUUAGUUUCUCACUUAUUUUAUUUUCCCCCAAUUUUCAGUUUUUUUUGAAAUUUUAAAAUUUACUUUUUUUCCCAUUUUUUUCCGUUUUUUUCAAGCUUGCCGUAUUAUACCCGAAAAAAACCUCGCCAUUUAAAACUCCGAAAUGUUAUUUAUGACUAUGUUUUUAUUAGUUCAUUGAUAGAUAGUUUUUCUUCAUUUUGUUUGUGCUUGAAAUUAGAAACCUUUUGUGACAGCAUGAUGAUUUUCCUUUUUUAUUUUUCCAGAAGGUUGGCUUGUCUUGAAUUUCUUCAUUGAUGUCUAUGAUGCUUUUAAUUUUUAAAUAUACUUUGAAUAACUGCAAUGUGAUGAAAUUAAAUCUGAGGCACAGUGAAGGGUUAAGAUUCAUUUCUGUUUGCCUAUCUCGUUCUUAGUGUAGAAUCUGAGAUGCUUAAUAGUAGUGUCCGUGUUUUGAUUCUUCCCUCUUUUAUAUCAGAAACUGGGCUGCGCUUCUGUUCCUUGUAAACUUUGGUUUUUUUAAUAGGUGGUCUCCAAUGUCUUUGUAGAAUGAAGGCUCUGUUCUGAGGACCUUCUCAUUGUAUUUUGCUGGCUUUGUUCUUUGUUUAUUGUAUUUGUUCACAUUGUUUGGUCUCUUUCUUUGCAUUUUGUAGUUGAAUCAUGUUGACUGUAAAGUUGGGUUUAUCCUAUUUAUGGUGGAAUAGAUGGACUUAGUUGUAGCUGAUUCUUAUCUCCAUUAAUUCUUUUUACCUGCUAAGAUUAAGAUGUGUAGGAGAGGAGAGGGAAGGUAAGGAAUAGUAUGGUAAUCCAUGGUGACUCGUCUGUACUAGUCAGUUCAACCUAAUGCUUGUGCAGUGGGUGUCUACUGUUACGUCAUACGAGCAAGGCUGCAGGUAUAGGACUAGGUUCACUUUUUGUAAAUUUCCUAGUGUGAUUUGUAUACAAGGGGGCACAAGUGGAAUUUUAAAUGGAGUGAUCAUUUCAGUACAAGUCUACUGCUUAGAUUGAAACCUCAAAUCCUUAAUAAUCAGCCUUGACAAUCAAUUUCGUACAUGUACAUCUUGCUUGUUCUGUGGAAUUGUUGUAGAUUACUUGCGUGCUUCUCGUCAAUGUAAAGGUUGUUCAGCGGCUUAUGAAGGAAAUUUAAUUAUAUCCAAACAUCAGAAUUUGUAAAAUGUUGCUGUCCCUUUUUUGGUUUGCUAGCAUUGGGUUUCAGUGGCUAAAUAAGGGAAAUUUAAUUAUACAGAUUGUACUAUCCCUUUGUUGCUUUUCUGUAAUUGGUUUCAACAGUUGCAUGCUGAGACAAUGCAGGCUUUUCCCUUCCAGGUUUUCUCUUCCUUGUAUUAAAAAUUUUUGGGUAUUUCUUGACAAGACCAUGCUCGUGGUUUUAGUGAUUUAUUUAUUGUCUCAGCAUGAUUUGCUUCUAUUUUUUAUAGUUCUGAAUUAUCAUGCUGGGGUUGGCAAGGGGCCAGAGCCGACAAGAAAAGAUGGCAACAGAUCCUUUAAAAAAGAUAUACAAAAGGAAAAAAAAAAGUUGGACAUUCUGAUGUUUGAUCUUAUGUAGCAUACCUUAAUUCAGUUUUCAAGAAUUUUGAUGUUGGCGAAUGCAAUUUUCUCCAAUAGCCUGAUGAUUGCUGUCAAGAAUGGAAAUCUGAAGGCAUUUCCUGUUGAAGCCUAGCCAUAGGGUGGGGCUCCAGGAAUGCCAAUGUAAAGUACAGGAAUUUGAUGAAGGCUAGUUGGGGGUAUUCGCCGGGUGGGAUUUUUGGUUUUUAUUCAAUUAGUAAAUAACCUCCAAGGUUUGACCCUUUAAUUCUAACAAUAAAAUAAUUUUAAAAACGAAGGUCUGCAAAAAUAAAACAUUUGCAAAUUUAAACUUGUACAAGCGAACUGUAUUAAAAUGUUUAUCCAGGAGCUUGUUCCAUUCAGAAGGUUGAAUUGGUUGGAGAAGAUAUAGAAAGUGCUCCAGAAAAAGUUUGUUCAAAGAGAUGGGUGUGGAAGCCUGAGGUUGGUGCAGUGGAGUUCAUUAUGACUGUUUGAGGGGCAAUCAAUGUUCGUUUUUCAUGGGCGUCGGUCUAUUGCAAGCCAAGGUAUGCACGGGCCUUGAAGGUGAGGGUUUUGUUGCUUUUGGACAAAUAUAGGUAAGGCUGGCUGACCUUAAUGAGUUCAUCAUGUCUCAGCUUUUCAUUGAGAAAGAGAGAUGGAGGGAGAUGCUUUGCCGACAUUAAUUUCUUUUAUUCUAUAUCCCAUUUUCUCCGAUGCUAUUUUGAAGAACCCAUUUCAACCAUAAUGGCCUAAAAGUUUGUGGAUGGUCGCGAGCGUCCCUCUGCUUAUCCUUGUUCUCAGCGUGUCGGGGGAAUGCAUUGAUUCACAGAAUUGUAUUCUAUAGUUCCUGGCAAAUGGGUGCUUAGACAGGGAGAAGAGAGUGCGGUCCUUUGUUCCUCUCCACACUUUCUCCAUUUGGUAGCCAGUGGAUAUUGCGGCGGGGGAAGUAUGUGGGCUUGUGCUUUUCUGCUCCCUAGAGCCAAAGGGCACUUUAAGAGGGAGUCGAAUCAUGAACAAAUUUCAAGAUGCUCACCUUGCAUCUUAUUAUGGGAGUGCAUUGAUGGUGCUGUAUUCGUAAAAUUAAGGGAGAGAGGGGAAAAGAACUUAAAUUAAAAGAAAGGGCAUCCAAAAAAGGCAAUUCUGAGAGAGAGAGACGUAAUUUUUCAGACUGAGCAGGCUGCUGAAAAUUGACUCUAGCCAUUAAAUUACUUCCAUCAUCCAGGUCCCGAUCCCUUCAGUCUCUCGAGCAAGCCUUUUUUGUUCUCAGUGUGUCGAGCAAGUUAAGCAUGCCUCCAAGUGGAUGGAGGCAUGGUGUCAGUGCCUCGUAUAUCAUGUGUUCUUGACUGGCUAGUUCUUUUUACAAGAACAUCCGGAUUUUCUUAAAAAUGCUGAAAUCUGGUGAGAUUCCGGUUCGGAUGGUAAUUACAUGUAGAAAUUUGAAAUUUGCGUUGUUCUAUCCAGAGACCAGUAGCACUCUCGGGUCUGAUCUAGGUCCGUUUACACCUUUCUUUUUUCAAAACCAGCCGGUUAGAUUCUAAUUCAUUCCAGUUACCUGGUCAAACUUUGAAUCCUUUCCUUUUUCGGUGUUUUAAUAUAUUCUUGUUCCUGAAUGUUUCUUGCUUGCCUGCACAUGUGUAUGUGUGUGUGUGUUUGGGAGGGUGCACGCUUUAGACAUCAGAAAGACUGAUACCAUUUAUGUCCUGUAUAAGAAACUAAUGCAAAUUGCCUAGUUUUAUUA